rnacentral:rRNA from 1 species
UACAGAGGUGGCGAGCGUUGUUCGGAUUUACUGGGCGUAAAGGGUGCGUAGGCGGUUCCGCGUGUCAAAUGUGAAAUCCCACGGAUCAUCUGUGGAACGGCAUUUGAAACUACGGGGCUUGAGGGCGGGAGAGGAAGGUGGAAUUCUCGGUGUAGCGGUGAAAUGCGUUGAUAUCGAGAGGAACGCCGGGGGCGAAGGCGACCUUCUGGAACGCUUCUGACGCUGAGGCACGAAAGCUGGGGGAG